UUUACUUUUGAAAUAACACAAUGGGACUUAAUUAAGUUAUCAAAUGUUUUCAACUAUAAUUCCAAACAAAUGCUUACAUGUUCAAUAAAGAAAUACACGUACAGAAAUACUUAGAAAUGAAGCUUACCACUAAUGGAAUAUCCUUAAUUCUAAGGCAAAUACCCAAAGAACCUAUUACAUGUUAUUUCUCAAGAAGAUAGAAUUUCAUAAAAUUACUAUCGGAUCGAGUUUUAUCAGCUUCAGCUUCAUUUUUCUGUAAGUUAAGCCAUCAAAAUUAGAACAAUUUGUCUUAGAAAAAAGGGUGAUCAAAAUUAUUGACAUAAUCCAUUACUAACCUUAGAGAAUUUUAUUCAUGUAGCAUGUCUAUAUUCUCGUUAAUACCUCUGACGCGACUAUAUGCAAUUGAUACAAAGUAGUAAAUGAGUACCAAAUCAGUUUUGAAAAGAGCCAAAAGGCCAGCAAUGAUGGAGGAUCAAAUAUAAAACGAUAACACCCAUUUCAAAAUUUAGAACUUCUGAAAAAGAAAUUGGCGAGACAAAAAAAAAGAAUUAAAGUCCAGAACAAACAGAAGAAAAUAAAACAAAUUAUCUUUUGAGGGAGAAAGAAUUGAAUUUAGUUUCAAA
rnacentral:lncRNA from 1 species